rnacentral:rRNA from 1 species
UACGUAGGUGGCAAGCGUUGUCCGGAUUUACUGGGCGUAAAGAGCGCGCAGGCGGUCGAAUAAGUCGAAUGUGAAAGCCCCCGGCUCAACUGGGGAGGGUCACUCGAUACUGAUCGACUCGAAGGCAGGAGAGGGAAGUGGAAUUCCCGGUGUAGUGGUGAAAUGCGCAGAUAUCAGGAGGAACACCAAUGGCGAAGGCAGCUCGCUGGAACGGAACUGACGCUGAGGCGCGAAAGCGUGGGGAGCGAACAGG